GAUAUUAUACAAGGCCUUUCAUGAACACUUACUGAAUGCCUCCACACAAUGGCAUAACUCACGCGUUGCAAGAAUAUAACCAUCCACGACAAUGUGAAGUGACAUGCAAUGACAAGCUGAAGAGGUUCAGGUAGGUCAUGUUACUGAUCUUCAAUCUUAAAUGCACUCUCAUUGCACAGCUUAUUGCUUUCAUUCCCGGGGACAGGUGGUGUUUUCGUGAAAUUGUCUACCCAUGUUGACUUGGUUGUGUGAGGCACAUCUGCUAUAUGAUACCGGUAUCAACCUACCUCACAGAUUAUUUUGCAGUUUGUUAUCUCAGUGAUCCGGAAAUUGAAACCCAAUUCUGUUUUAAGCGUCCGAUGGUGCGCUUCAAUAAAAUUACAAGAGCGGUGACUUUAUCUCGCAUGUCACUGAAUAUGAACAACUGCUUGCUUGGUAAAGUUGACUACUAUUGCGUAGAAGUUGUGUCAUCCAGGAAGUAGAUCUAACCUAAAUACCUGGGGUACUCUCAUAUGAUUGGCCGGCUCCUGGGAACUACAGGUGUACCCAGACAGCUGAGGAUCAGCAGUUUUAUGGAUUACCCUUGCCGAAAGGAGACCAACAGAAACCGGUUUGGCGAAUCGUGUUUGGAACCUGUUAAAACUACUACUGCAUCCCAUGUUUGAGGGCAUAAUCAACGCUAAUGACUCUUUUGGUGUUGAUACUGCUUGGAUGUGUUACAGUCACCAGGCUGGAUGAGGAAACCGCAUCUAUCACCUGUGCAUCAUCAGCGGGACGUAAUGACAUCGACAGCUCGACCACUUGCACAAGGCCACAGAGAAGAAACUUAAGAAGAGAGCUGUCGAGAUUCAAGAAACAUGCCAGGUUCAAGGACGCACUUAUUUAUAAUAUACCCCAAAAAAUGGAUGAAUUUAGAAAAGAAAUGGAGAGAGACUUUUGGAAAGAACCAUUUGCACAACCUUUGACAACAGACAUAUUUCCAAAAGACAUUUGCACGGGAUAUUGGCACGAUGACUAUAAUGACGUAUGUCGUAAAAUGGAUGUUUUGACCUACAGUAAGUUGCGAUAUCCGCGACGUAUACACGAAUACAGAUGUUGUCCACCGCCGAAACAUCUGAAAGGACAUUGCAAGCCCGUGAAAAUACCUGUACACGUCCUACAGAUCGUCCGCCCUGCACACAUAUAUUGUCGGUGCGUGGUAUGGGAUUUCUAUUUCAAAACUGUGGGAUGUUCCUACGAACCUGACAAUUCAAGAAGUUUUCGAGAUAAGACAUAAUCUUUCGCAACGGAUGUUGAGACGUCUAGCCUAGUUAAGUUGCUGUUAGUGUGUAGCGCUACCUCUAUGGUGUGGAUGCAGUUGUAGAGACAACACAUAACCAGCUAAGUUGAAGCAGGGCAGAACGUGUUUGGCAAUGUGUGCUUCUUGUUGUUUCUAUGUGACGUUCACCAGGAUAUGUGUGAGCCUGACUCUGGUAAUCUCCCACUCGCUAGUGACACAAACUACCGUCUGAGCCUCACAUCUGAAACCUCAGAUUGAUCAAUCACAAUCGAUAUUGUUCAAAGUACAAAGUGGUAUAUUAUCGGUGACUAUAACUCUUCCACACUGUCUUCCAUGGAUUCUAUGUCAGUGUUGUCAGGAUUCCCAAUCAAACUAAACAGAAGUGCAUCAACUAUAUAUUCCACUGAUGCAUGUACGUAAAUGUACAUCUAUAUCCUGCGUCUUGAUGUGUCUGAUUAUCUGGAACAAUGUAAAAUUGACUGGAAUCAAAUUUAAACAGAUAGUUGUCAGAACAGAUGUAUACUAAACAAUGAUUAUAGGGCUGCUUUUGUAAUGGCAAUAUAUUUUAGACCAGUGGAUACAUAGUUUAUUUGCGAUGAAACUUCAAUACCAAGGUGUUUAAAUUUUACCUUGAUGUUAUUAGAAUGGACACUUUGAUGACACUUGAUAAAGUGCCAGAUCCUUCAAAAACAAGAUUCAGUGUCGGGUGUAACUUAUAAUCAUCUCCAAAAUGACUUUGACGUGAAAAGCUCACGAAUGUGUAAUGUCUUAAAGUCAAUGUGACCGGCCCUGACAGCAGGCUGUGAGACUUGACUUGGGCCUCGUCCAAUACAGUGUAGACUGAACUCACGUCCGGGCAAUACGCCGACCAAACCAUAACCUUGCAUUGUUUCGCAAUGUAACUCCGUGGCGUGUUCGAUGAAUGGUCGGGAUAAGUCGUGCAUACAAACAAAGUCGCCAUCUAAAGACACCGGCGUAAGGUUGUAAGGUGUUUUCUUACAGGCAUUGUAAAGACCAAACGAUCAUGGUAGAAACGAUUAAUAGCACUGUUGGAAUGACAUGUACCGUAUCAGAGAAAAAGGCAAGGACCGGUGUCACUGAUCGGGAACGUCAGUGUAUAAACAUCCAUGUAUUGGCUAGGUACCACAUACAACAGAGCUGCGUGCAUCUCCACAACAGAGUCAGACAAUUCCACACGAUACGCACAAAUUUCCUGAACAAAUAUUAGUGGCCCAUGACGUUUGUGUUACUUCUAUACAACUAUGUAUAUUGACCAUUUCUUCGGGCACAUCUACCAUGACACCCUUAAGCCAUUUUCUAAACUCUUGGCAAAGUGUCCGAUGGCCUGGGUAUAUAUAACAUAAUCAACGGUUCUAACCAAUGCUGAGUUGGGUUUGUCGAAUCAAAUUUAAUAUUCAGCUACUAAAUGAAGUAUAUUUCUUAUUUUGAUCAUACAUGGGUGACAUUGAACUGGGCAUACAUCUGAGUGUUAUCCACGACGUUCUUAAUUAAGUUCACGUUUGCGUGAUGUUGUCAUCUGUAGUUAUCCACAAAGCUUUAGUGGUGAUGUACAAGUGCAUUUGUAUUUCUACUAGGUUACCUAACUCUUUCUGAAAUAUAGUGAUGAUGAUAAGUUAUGAUAAUUAGCUACUACAGUUGGUAUUUGUUUCUUUAAUCCAAAGCGAUUCAUUCAUGUGGUCAUUUAUCAAAGAUCAUCUACAGACAAAGAUGAACCAAGCCUAUUCAAACCAGACAUAAAUACACAUAUGAUUAUAUAUAUAUAUAUAUAUAUAUAUAUAUCUAUAUCUACUUACAUAUGCACGCCUACAUCAGUAGGUUCUCUCAUCAGUGUGUAGCUGCUCACGUGUACUGUCACCUGGGUAAUCACGCUCAUGUGGCGCCCAACACAUAAGUACAUUCAAGCAUCACGUCAUCAGAAUAUUUACCCACCAAACCCAAACCAAAUAUGUACACAUUCACUUUCCUGAUGCCAGGCGUCGGUGAGUGUGGUUUUACUUCUUCAAAUAUUCCAGCCAUAUCAUAAACAGGGUCACCAGUAAGUAUUUUGCGAACUGAAUCCGGGUAUUCGGCCGGACGAAUCACUGGCUACCAUCCUGCCCCUGAAGGUCUAUUCAGCAAGUUGUACGUAGACACACAUAGCUCAAUGACAUCCCAUUGUAUACAUCGCUUCAAAGCUGUAUAAAGUAUACAUUCAUGUUUUCAAGCAUAGAACAUUCAGGUGUUGCAAUAGAACUUACGUUUUCGUAAGGGAUUAGUUCAUAUCACAUGUUUUCAUUUUCACUGUACAAUACAUGUAUUUCGCUUGAUUACAUUCCGUUAAUUUCAUUGUAUGACGUUUCAAUUGUAGAUGUGGUUUCCUAAUUACUGGUCAAUGUUUUCAGUCUUACCUACCUACAGAUGCAUGACGUCAGGGAGGAGGCGAAAUAAUUUGCCAAAUAGCUGUCUCAUUUCUUGCAUUUUGUAUCAAUAAAAUAUGUUUAAGCUAUAA
rnacentral:lncRNA from 1 species